UUCCUUGCCGGCGACCGGCGGCACGGGUGAGUAACACGUACUGCAACCUCGCCCUCUUCCACGGGGGACGAACCGUUCCGAAACGGGAGGCGUAAUUCCCGCGUAGUAUCGGUUUCGGGUCGAUCCGACGAUCGAGGAAAGAAUUCAUCGGAAGAGGAUGGGCGAUGCGGCGCAUUAGCUUGACGGCGGGGUAACGGCCCACCGUGGCGACGAUGCGUAGGGGUUCUGAGAGGAAGGUCCCCCACACUGGUACUGAGACACGGACCAGACUCCUACGGGAGGCAGCAGUGAGGAAUAUUGGUCAAUGGGAGAGAUCCUGAACCAGCCAAGCCGCGUGAGGGAAGACGGCCCUAUGGGUUGUAAACCUCUUUUGUCGGGGAACAAAACCCGGGACGUGUCCCGGACUGCGUGUAUCCGAAGAAAAAAGCAUCGGCUAACUCCGUG
rnacentral:rRNA from 1 species